UUUUAUCUAUCUCUCUCUCACAAGGUGUCAGCACAUCUUAAGCAGAAGUGGAGAAGUGCUCAGGAUGAGUCCAUAGAGUAAAACACAUUUUUCCUUUUUAAAUUCCUGAAAUAAGGUCAGGAAAUUCUCCUUCUGUUUGUGGACUUUCUGCAAGCUGGCAAAGAGGCUAAAUUAACUGCAUACAUUAUUCAUUACAAAUUAUUCACUCUAUGCAGCACAUACUGAUUGUUUAGAAAAUUCAUUCUUUCUGUCCUAGAAAUGUCACUGGCUGUAACUCAUUACCUCAUCAUUGACAAAUUCUGUUGAUUGCUUGACUAGUUGCUUUAACUAAUCCAGGAUUAUGGGUCACAAGAAUAAAAACAGGCACUUCACUAGCAGUUUGCGCAUGAGUAUCUCCAAACAUGAUUUCCAAAUGCUAAUUAAUCCCCAGAGCACCUGGGAAGUGAAGUAUUCCUAUCCUUAUAACAGAUUUGUAGCUCUUGAACCUUGUCAGGAGGUGGAAAGUCAUUUUGCUGACUCACACAAGCUGCCAGGUCAGGUGGGUCUCAUUAGCUCCAACCAGCUAGGAUAAAAAACCUGAGUAUUAAAUAUUAGAAAGGGAAAAAAAAAGAAAAAAGAAAUCAAGUAAGAGGAUAUAGGGAGGAUGGAAAAAAACCAGCAGAUAGUACUUUUGUUAGCUGCUGUGGGUUAGAGGAAGUAUUGACAAUGCUGUUUGGUUUCAGAACCUUGUUCUUAGUAUAGUUGUUGAAGUAGCUAAAUAAAUGAUAGGGAGUUAAAUGGGAUUGAACCCUUUCAGUUCAAUUCAAUAAGUUGAUUCUUCUGGGCCUUUAUUUAUUUGUUUUCAAAGUGUUUCUAUGCCAGACUAUGCUAGCAGUCUUAAAAUUGUAUGAGGCUCAAAGGCUAUCUGGGAUUGGCAUCCAUUUGUUCUUCUCUUGGACAAGAUAUACAUGUUCUUGGGAGUCCAAGGUCCAGUUGUCUGUGUAUCUGGCACAGAUACAAUAUAAGGCAAAGAGCCUGAAUUCUUCCUUCCCUCUGAGUGAUGGCUGGGAUGCCCAGGUCUUCAUUGAUCCUGUGCCAGUACUGAGCCAAGAAAAGUAUGAAUAUCUGGUUACUGCUUCAGCACAAUGGACUGAUUAA
rnacentral:lncRNA from 1 species